rnacentral:rRNA from 1 species
GAUGAACGCUGGCGGCGUGCCUAAUACAUGCGAGUCGAGCGAACAGACGAGGAGCUUGCUCCUCUGACGUUAGCGGCGGACGGGUGAGUAACACGUGGAUAACCUACCUAUAAGACUGGGAUAACUUCGGGAAACCGGAGCUAAUACCGGAUAAUAUAUUGAACCGCAUGGUUCAAUAGUGAAAGACGGUUUUGCUGUCACUUAUAGAUGGAUCCGCGCCGCAUUAGCUAGUUGGUAAGGUAACGGCUUACCAAGGCAACGAUGCGUAGCCGACCUGAGAGGGGGAUCGGCCACACUGGAACUGAGACACGGUCCAGACUCCGACGGGAGGCAGCAGUAGGGAAUCUUCCGCAAUGGGCGAAAGCCUGACGGAGCAACGCCGCGGGAGUGAUGAAGGUCUUCGGAUCGUAAAACUCUGUUAUUAGGGAAGAACAAAUGUGUAAGUAACUAUGCACGUCUUGACGGUACCUAAUCAGAAAGCCACGGCUAACUACGU